ensembl:lncRNA
GUUAUUCUAUUUCCUUUCACAUCUCGCCCCUCUGUAAACCUCAGACCAGUUAUAAGAUCAAUCAUGCCUUCACGGCUGAUCGUCUUAACCUGUCACACCAGUCUUACCCGGUAGAACAGCUACAACAGAAGUACAGACAUCUGCGUGGUCUUCCCAUCCGGACACUCACUGAUGUCCAACCUUUACUUCUCAUCGGUUCAGAUCAGCCCUAUCUCAUAACCCCAACAGAGCCUGUUCGAUGGGGUGACCCUGGUGCACCAGCUGCAGUUCACACACGCCUAGGAUGGACACUUCAGGGUCCUAUACCUUCUAUGGGGUGUCCCCCUACCACACGGCAAUGUCUGCUAACCUCUAUUGCUCCAAUUCAGGAUGAACUCCUUCAGAACGUUCAACGACUGUGGCAGUUGGAUACGGUCCCACAGUGGGAGGGAAAAGAGGUAACCCGGUCCAAGCAGGACCAGGAGGCUCUUCAGCUGCUGGACCGUAAAACUCUCACCCUGGAAAUGGAGGGAAUCAACCGGUUGGCAACACCCCUACUGCGGCGAAAGGACAUGCCUUCAUUGAAUGCACCUAAAGAAUCAGUCCUACCUACCCUUCGCAGUGUGGAGAGGCGUCUGCUGAAGGAGCCUGUAAAAGCUGAGGUCUACAAAGAGGAGAUGAGGAAACUCAUUGAGACGGGAGCUGUUAGGAAGAUGUCUGAUCCUAUACCUGAUUCACAUGAAUGCUGGUACAUCCCUCACCAUCUCGUGAGUCACAAUGGGAAGUUCCGCCUUGUCUUUAACUGCUCCUAUCAGUAUCAGGGACAAAACCUUAAUCAGUACCUCCUGCCAGGACCCACCCUCGGGGCCUCACUGUUGGGUGUCCUUAUCCGUUUCAGAGAACAUCCUGUGGCAGUAAGUGGGGAUAUUAAGGCGAUGUUCCAUCAGGUUCGCCUUAUACCUGAGGACCGUCCUCUACUCCGUUUCCUUUGGCGGGACCUGAAGAUGGAUGAGGCACCCAGAAUUCUUGAGUGGCAGGUAUUACCCUUCGGCACAACCUCCAGUCCGUGUUGUGCUACCUAUGCACUACAGCGUCACGUGCGGCAACACCCCCUAACGGAUGAGGCAAUCCGGUUUUCAGUGGAGAGGUGUUUCUAUGUCGAUAACUGCCUGCAGAGCCUGCCUACGGCAGAUGAAGCUCGGAACUUGAUUGAUCGACUACGAAAUAUCCUUUCCGGAGCUGGAUUCGAAAUUCGCCAAUGGGCCUGCAAUGAUCCUACGGUGCUGAGUCACCUACCCGCCCACGCCCGUGCUGCAAGUGUGGAGCUGUGGUUGACACAGGAGAAGUCGGACAUCCCUGAAUCGACGCUGGGUCUGAGCUGGAACUGGCAGACGGACACUUUGUCCUACAAGCACCGACCUGUGAUUUAUGAGACUCUAACUUUGAGGAACAUCUAUAAGGUUCUAGCUACCCAGUACGACCCCCUGGGAUGGCUUCUACCUUAUUCAACUCGGGCAAAAAUCAUCAUUAAGCAGCUGUGGAACAAGCAGAGAGGGUGGGAUGACCCCAACCUACCCCCGGAGCUCCUCCAGUCCUGGAAUGCAUGGGAGGAAGAACUCCGAUACCUUCCUUGUAUCUCCUUUCCCCGGUCUUAUGUCCCUCCUGAAGUUGGGAUGGAUGGAGUUACCCAUGAAGUACAUAUAUUCUCGGAUGCCUCGGAGCAGGCAUAUGGAGCAGUAGCCUACCUGCGGACUACUGACCAGGAUGGUCAGACCUACCUGUCCUUCAUUAUAGCACGCUCCCGUGUCACUCCUAAACGAGCUCACUCCAUUCCAAGACUGGAGCUCUGUGGUAGUCUAGUUGCAGCAGAGUUGUCUAAGUUACUUGAAAUUGAGUUAACCCUACCAAUCAAGUCUAUUUCCCUGUGGUACUACGGUCCUACGGUCCU